rnacentral:rRNA from 1 species
UACGAAGGGUGCAAACGUUGCUCGGAAUCAUUGGGCGUAAAGCGCACGUAGGCGGCUUCGAAAGUCGGAUGUGAAAUCCCAUGGCUCAACCAUGGACGUGCACCCGAAACUGCGAGGCUUGAGUACUGAAGAGGAUCGCGGAAUUCCCGGUGUAGAGGUGAAAUUCGUAGAUAUCGAGAGGAACACCGGUGGCGAAGGCGGCCAACUGGACGAAUACUGACGCUGAGACACGAAAGCGUGGGGAGCAAACAGG